rnacentral:rRNA from 1 species
AGAGCGGCGGACGGGUGAGUAACGCGUGGGUAACCUGCCCUGUACACACGGAUAACAUACCGAAAGGUAUGCUAAUACGAGAUAAUAUGCUUUUAUCGCAUGGUAGAAGUAUCAAAGCUUUUGCGGUACAGGAUGGACCCGCGUCUGAUUAGCUAGUUGGUAAGGUAACGGCUUACCAAGGCGACGAUCAGUAGCCGACCUGAGAGGGUGAUCGGCCACAUUGGAACUGAGACACGGUCCAAACUCCUACGGGAGGCAGCAGUGGGGAAUAUUGCACAAUGGGCGGAAGCCUGAUGCAGCAACGCCGCGUGAGCGAUGAAGGCCUUCGGGUCGUAAAGCUCUGUCCUCAAGGAAGAUAAUGACGGUGCUUGAGGAGGAAGCCCCGGCUAACUACGUGCCAGCAGCCGCGGUAAUACGUAGGGGGCUAGCGUUAUCCGGAAUUACUGGGCGUAAAGGGUGCGUAGGUGGUUUCUUAAGUCAGAGGUGAAAGGCUACGGCUCAACCGUAGUAAGCCUUUGAAACUGUGAAACUUGAGUGCAGGAGAGGAGAGUGGAAUUCCUAGUGUAGCGGUGAAAUGCGUAGAUAUUAGGAGG